ensembl:lncRNA
CUCACAGGUCCCUGAUCUGGCCAGAGACACUGUCCUUACUGUAGGGCUCUCUCCUCACAGGUCCCUGAGUCUGGCCAGAGACACUGUCCUUACUGUAGGGGCUCUGCUCCUCACAGUCCCUGAGUCUGGCCAGAGACACUGUCCUUACGUAGGUCUCUCUCACAGGCCCUGAGUCUGGCCAGAGACACUGUCCUUACGUAGAGGUCUCCUCACAGGUCCCUGAGUCUGGCCAGAGACCACUGUCCUUACUGUAGGGGCUCUCUCCUCACAGGUCCCUGAGUCUGGCCAGAGACACUGUCCUUUACGGUAGGCUUCUCCUCACAGGUCCCUGAGUCUGGCCAGAGACACUGUCCUUACUGUAGGGGCUCUCUCCUCACAGGUCCCUGAGUCUGGCCAGAGACACUGUCCUUACUGUAGGGGCUCUCUCCUCACAGGUCCGCUGAUCUGGCCAGAGACACCUGUCCUUACUGUGGGGCUCUCUCCCUCACAGGUCCCUGAGUCUGGCCAGAGACACUGUCCUUACUGUAGGGGCUCUCUCCUCACAGGUCCCUGAGUCGGCCAGAGACACUGUCCUUACUGUAGGGGUUCUCUCCUCACAGGUCCCUGAGUCUUGCAGAGACACUGUCCUUUACGGUAGAGUCUUCUCACAGAGCCCUGAGUCUGGCCAGAGACAAUGUCCUUACGGUAGAGUCUCCUUCACAGGUCCCUGAGUCUGGCCAGAGACACUACCUUACUGUAGAGUCUCUCACAGGCCCUGAGUCUGGCCAGAGACACAUCCCUUACUAGUAGUGGCUCUCACAGAGCCCUGAGUCUGGCCAGAGACACUGUCCUUACUGUAAGGUCUCCUCACAGAGCCCUGAGUCUGGCCAGACACCAUCCUUACUGUAGAGUCUCCUCACAGAGCCCUGAGUCUGGCCAGACACCAUCCUUACUGUAGCGUUCUCCUCACAGGCCCUGAGUCUGGCAAGGACACCUCUGUGUGGAGCGUGCAGGACUAGCACCCUGAGUCUGGCCAGAGAGACUAUUCUGUGACCUCUUUAUGUCAGUUAACAACCCUUUCUUGUGAUACUACAGUAUUCAGGAUACUAACGAGAUACCACUACAGUACUACAGGAAUACUAAC